rnacentral:rRNA from 1 species
UACGAAGGGGGCUAGCGUUGUUCGGAAUUACUGGGCGUAAAGCGCGCGUAGGCGGUGAUCUUUGUCAGAGGUGAAAGCCCGGGGCUCAACUCCGGAAUUGCCUUUGAAACGGGAUCGCUUGAGUCCGAGAGAGGAUGGCGGAAUUCCUAGUGUAGAGGUGAAAUUCGUAGAUAUUAGGAAGAACACCGGUGGCGAAGGCGGCCAUCUGGCUCGGUACUGACGCUCAGGCGCGAAAAGCGUGGGGAGCAAACAGG